UACAGAGACUGCAAGCGUUACUCGGAAUCACUGGGCGUAAAGCGCGCGCAGGCGGUCUUCCAAGUCAGUGGUGAAAGCCCGGAGCUCAACUCCGGAACUGCCAUUGAAACUGUGAGACUGGAGUACGAGAGAGGUGAGUGGAAUUCCCAGUGUAGAGGUGAAAUUCGUAGAUAUUGGGAAGAACACCGGUGGCGAAGGCGGCUCACUGGCUCGUAACUGACGCUCAGGCGCGACAGCGUGGGGAUCAAACAGG
rnacentral:rRNA from 1 species